rnacentral:lncRNA from 1 species
CUCCUACAUCUCCUGGGACAGGCUGGGGUGGAGGCACUCAGGACUCACCGACUUGAUGGACGGGGGCGCAGACGUGCCCACAGCCCUUCCUCACGCACUGAUGUCCACUCCCACAGUCCCUGUCUUCUCUGCACUGAUGCAUAGUCUUCCUUCCCCACAGUCCUGGUCUACACGGCACUCCAUCACACAGAUACCUACAUCUUGAGAAGAGACCAGGUUGAGAUGCUCACAUUAAACCAGUACUUAUCUUAUAAAUGACCCUGACCUCAUAAUAGC